GAUGAACGCUAGCGGCAGGCUUAAUACAUGCAAGUCGAGGGGCAGCAGGACUGUAGCAAUACAGUUGCUGGCGACCGGCAAACGGGUGCGGAACACGUACGCAACUUACCCUUGUCUGGGGCAUAGCCCACCGAAAGGUGGAUUAACUCCCCAUAAGAUAGUGGUGUGGCAUCACACAGCUAUUAAAACUGAGGUGGACAAGGAUGGGCGUGCGGCUGAUUAGGUAGUUGGUGUGGGUAACGGCCCACCAAGCCUGCGAUCAGUAACUGGUGUCAGAGAACGAUCAGUAACACGGGGACAGAGACACGGGCCCGACUCCGACUGGAGGCAGCAGUAAGGAAUAUUGGUCAAUGGAGGCAACUCUGAACCAGCCAUGCCGCGUGGAGGAUGAAGGCCCUCUGGGUUGUAAACUUCUUUUACAGGGGACGAAACACUUCUAUUCUUAGGAGCUUGACGGUACCCUGGGAAUAAGCACCGGCUAACUCCGUGCCAGCCGCCGCGGUAAAAC
rnacentral:rRNA from 1 species